rnacentral:lncRNA from 1 species
AUUGAGCACUUACCCUGUGCCUAUCUCCAGGCUGAAUUAAUUAGAAGAUAGUUUCUUUAAAAGUUAUAAAGCAGAAAAUGCAUGCACUACUAUUAUCUGAUGAGGAAACUGAGAUUUCUCUCCCCCUCCUUAGAAACCAGAAGACUUAAAUACAUUCCCGAGAGACUCUCAUGAAGACUGAACUAAAAUGCUCCCUAACUGCUGAUACCUUAUGGGAAUUCCAGGGAAGCAGAUGAAGAAAGGCCCACAGUGUCUCUCCCCUCCACAUGGCUGGACGAAACUGCAGUGGCACUCAGCAUCAGGUGGCCUGUGGUGUCUCCAAUCAAAGCCCAGGCUUGCUGUGUUGAUCAUCCCUGGCUCACGAAGUCUCAUUCUGUGCAUGUUUUUGCACCAAUGGGAAAUCUACACUGAGAAUGCUGUCAACCCCCUUUUGUGGAGCACCCCCUCU